GUGUUCGGGUUGUCAUGCCAAUGGCACUGCCCGGUAGCUAAAUGCGGAAGAGAUAAGUGCUGAAAGCAUCUAAGCACGAAACUUGCCCCGAGAUGAGUUCUCCCUGAGACUGUAAGUCUCCUGAAGGAACGUUGAAGACGACGACGUUGAUAGGCCGGGUGUGUAAGCGCAGCGAUGCGUUGAGCUAACCGGUACUAAUGAACCGUGAGGCUUAACCUU
rnacentral:rRNA from 1 species